GGGCGUUUAGCGCCUCCCUUACAGGAGGAGGUCGUCGGUUCAAGUCCGGCAUCGCCCA
rnacentral:tRNA from 1 species